GUGGGGAAUCUUCCGCAAUGGACGAAAGUCUGACGGAGCAACGCCGCGUGAGUGAAGAAGGUUUUCGGAUCGUAAAGCUCUUUCGUUAGGGACGAACGUGCUCUUUGUGAAUAAUGAGGAGUAAUGACGGUACCUAAAUAAGAAGCCACGGCUAACUACGUGCCAGCAGCCGCGGUAAUACGUAGGUGGCAAGCGUUGUCCGGAAUUAUUGGGCGUAAAGCGCGCGCAGGCGGGAUAUCAAGUCUGUCUUAAAAGUGCGAGGCUCAACCUCGUGAGGGGACAGAAACUGGUAUUCUUGAGGGUCGGAGAGGAAAGUGGAAUUCCAAGUGUAGCGGUGAAAUGCGUAGAGAUUUGGAAGAACACCAGUGGCGAAGGCGACUUUCUGGACGAUGUCUGACGCUGAGGCGCGAAAGCUAGGGGAGCGAACGGGAUUAGAUACCCCGGUAGUCC
rnacentral:rRNA from 1 species